rnacentral:rRNA from 1 species
UGGGGAAUUUUGGGACAAUGGGGGGAAACCCCUGAUCCAGCCAUCCCGCGUGUGCGAUGAAGGCCUUCGGGUUGUAAAGCACUUUUGGCAGGAAAGAAACGUCGCGGGUUAAUACCCCGCGAAACUGACGGUACCUGCAGAAUAAGCACCGGCUAACUACGUGCCAGCAGCCGCGGUAAUACGUAGGGUGCAAGCGUUAAUCGGAAUUACUGGGCGUAAAGCGUGCGCAGGCGGUUCGGAAAGAAAGAUGUGAAAUCCCAGAGCUUAACUUUGGAACUGCAUUUUUAACUACCGGGCUAGAGUGUGUCAGAGGGAGGUGGAAUUCCGCGUGUAGCAUGAAAUGCGUAGAUAUGCGGAGGAACACCGAUGGCGAAGGCAGCCUCCUGGGAUAACACUGACGCUCAUGCACGAAAGCGUGGGGAGCAAACAGGAUUAGAUACCCUGGUAGUCCACGCCCUAAACGAUGUCAACUAGCUGUUGGGGCCUUCGGGCCUUGGUAGCGCAGCUAACGCGUGAAGUUGACCGCCUGGGGAGUACGGUCGCAAGAUUAAAACUUAAAUGAAUUGACGGGGGUCAUAGCUGUUU